UCGCCUGUUUAUCAAAAACAUAGCCUUUAGCAGAACUAGUAUUAAAGGUACUGCCUGCCCAGUGAAAUAACUUUAAACGGCCGCGGUAUCCUAACCGUGCAAAGGUAGCGUAAUCACUUGUCUUCUAAAUAAAGACUAGUAUGAACGGCUAAAUGAGGACAAACCUGUCUCCUACACCCCAUCAGUGAAACUGAUCUCUCAGUCCAAAAGCUGAGAUAACCACACAAGACGAGAAGACCCUGUGGAGCUUAAAACACACUACUAUUAAAUCAGAAGAUCCUUAGUAUUUGUUUUGAGUUGGGGCGACUUCGGAAUAAAACAAGACUUCCGAGCACAGAACCACCAUUUCUAAUCAAGGCCCACAAGCCAAGAUACAAAUGACCCAGUCAAACUGAUCAACGAACCAAGUUACCCCAGGGAUAACAGCGCUAUCUUCUUCAAGAGUCCAUAUCGACAAGAAGGUUUACGACCUCGAUGUUGGAUCAGGACACCCAAAUGGUGCAGCCGCUAUAAAGGUCGUUUGUUCAACGA
rnacentral:rRNA from 1 species